rnacentral:rRNA from 1 species
AUUGAACGCUGGCGGAAUGCUUUACACAUGCAAGUCGAACGGCAGCACGGGGGCAGCCCUGGUGGCGAGUGGCGAACGGGUGAGUAAUACAUCGGAACGUGCCCGGUCGUGGGGGAUGACGUAGCGAAAGUUACGCUAAUACCGCAUACGAUCUGAGGAUGAAAGCGGGGGACCUUCGGGCCUCGCGCGAUCGGAGCGGCCGAUGUCAGAUUAGGUAGUUGGUGGGGUAAAGGCCUACCAAGCCGACGAUCUGUAGCUGGUCUGAGAGGACGACCAGCCACACUGGGACUGAGACACGGCCCAGACUCCUACGGGAGGCAGCAGUGGGGAAUUUUGGACAAUGGGCGCAAGCCUGAUCCAGCCAUUCCGCGUGCAGGACGAAGGCCUUCGGGUUGUAAACUGCUUUUGUACGGAACGAAAAGGCUCUGGCUAAUACCUGGGGCUCAUGACGGUACCGUAAGAAUAAGCACCGGCUAACUACGUG